AGCUUGGUUGUAAAUGGUCAUGAUAUAUUAUACAUGUAUUCGUCCCAUUUUUAUCUGUGUUUAAGUAUUAUAUUUCUAUGUGAUUCAAUUUUUAAUGUCUGUCUGAUUUCACAUGGUGCUAUAAAGAAGUGUAGAUAUUUUCUUGCUCAAGUUUUGAGUACUGAGUAUUUGAAAUUGUACAUGUACAUUAUGUGCCUUUUACGUACCUGAGAUUUUGUACUUUAUCAUAUGACAUUGUUCGCUUGUGUUGGUUAGCUACAAUACUCAGGUGGGCUGCUUUGAAGAGAUUCACGAGUUCAUCUGUAGAUAUUCAUAACUUCUGAUUACCAUGACGAAUGAUUGUCGAGGCUGAGUGCAUGUUAUGGUUCGACUGAGCUGUUCCCGUGAAUUUCUUCAUAGCAGCCUACAUGUAUUUCUAUGUGUCCUAAGUUUUAUAUAUAUAUAUCUAAAAAUAAUAUUUCUUGAUCGUAAUUUUUUCUGAAGAGUUCGAGAAUUUAAUGUAUUUUACUUUUUAUUUCCAAAUUUAUGCAUGUUGCAUGAGUAUGUCAUGCACAAUUUUUUUAAUUAUACUAACAAAUUCGAUGAUCAAUUUUACGUUUAACAAAUUUUUAUUGUCAAAGAAAUGCUUUAAAUAAAAGUUACAAUAAU
rnacentral:misc_RNA from 1 species